UACGUAGGGUGCGAGCGUUGUCCGGAAUUAUUGGGCGUAAAGAGCUCGUAGGCGGCUUGUCGCGUCUGUUGUGAAAGCCCGGGGCUUAACCCCGGGUCUGCAUUCGAUACGGGCAGACUAGAGUGUGGUAGGGGAGAUCGGAAUUCCUGGUGUAGCGGUGAAAUGCGCAGAUAUCAGGAGGAACACCGGUGGCGAAGGCGGAUCUCUGGGCCAUUACUGACGCUGAGGAGCGAAAGCGUGGGGAGCGAACAGG
rnacentral:rRNA from 1 species